AGCAGCCGCGGUAAUUCCAGCUCCAAUAGCGUAUAUUAAAGUUGUUGCAGUUAAAAAGCUCGUAGUUGAAUUUCGGGGUUAGCAGGUCGGUCGUGCCAUCGGUAUGAACUGGUCUCGCUGAUCCCUCCCUCUUGACGAACUGUGAUGCCAUUAAUUUGGUGUCGCAGGGAAUCAGGACUGUUACUUUGAAAAAAUUAGAGUGUUUAAAGCAGGCUCACGCUUGAAUACAUUAGCAUGGAAUAAUGAAAUAGGACGUUUGAUCCUAUUUUGUUGGCUUCUAGGAUUGACGUAAUGAUUAAUAGGGAUAGUUGGGGGCAUUAGUAUUCAAUUGUCAGAGGUGAAAUUCUUGGAUUUAUUGAAGACUAACUACUGCGAAAGCAUUUGCCAAGGAUGUUUUCAUUAAUCAAGAACGAAAGUUAGGGGAUCGAAGACGAUCAGAUACCGUCGUAGUCUUAACCAUAAACUAUGCCGACUAGGGAUCGGAUGAUGUUAAUUUUUAAUGACUU
rnacentral:rRNA from 1 species